CUUGUACUCCCUCCGUCCGGAAAUACUUGUCAUUGAAAUGGAUGUAUCUAGAUGUAUUUUAGUUCUAGACACAUCCAUUUUGAUGACAAGUAAUUCCGAACAGAGGGAGUACUUG
rnacentral:pre_miRNA from 1 species